rnacentral:rRNA from 1 species
UACGAAGGGUGCAAGCGUUAGUCGGAAUUACUGGGCGUAAAGCGUGCGCAGGCGGCGCGUUAAGACAGGUGUGAAAGCCCCGAGCUUAACUUGGGAAUUGCGCUUGUGACUGGCGUGCUGGAGUAUGGCAGAGGGAGGUGGAAUUCCACGUGUAGCAGUGAAAUGCGUAGAGAUGUGGAGGAACACCGAUGGCGAAGGCAGCCUCCUGGGCCAGCACUGACGCUCAUGCACGAAAGCGUGGGGAGCAAACAGG